rnacentral:misc_RNA from 1 species
UCGGCGGGCGAUCCGCGUCGGUCUCGCUGGGUGGUAUGGUUCCCCAGAGGCCGGUUCUUGUGCUGCCUACCCCUCCAGGGGAAGCGGGCCGCUCGAUGCAAGCCUCCAUCCCGCGCCCUCCAACGGGCGCAGGAGGACAACUUAGCACCCCCCGCGUUCCACCGAGCCUCCUCGGUCGCGUGGCGCGCGGGGACGUGCGAUGCUCUCGGACCCAGCGAACGCCGUGGGCGAGGACUCACGUCCCAGUCCCGAUAGAAGCUCCCACAUAAUGCAUGACGGCCGCUCCCGUCCCCCGACCGCCCCGGCGGCGUGGUGGGCGUGGCGCGGCGUCGCGGAGGAAUUCUUCC